rnacentral:tRNA from 1 species
GGAAGUGGAAAGCUCACUGGUGGGGCUCCCGGACUUCAAAUCCGGUGUGGGGGGCAGAGAAAACCUCCCAGGUGGGUUCGAUUCCCAUGCACUUCCGCCA